rnacentral:rRNA from 1 species
UUCCUACGGGACGCAGCAGUGAGGAAUAUUGGUCAAUGGGCGGGAGCCUGAACCAGCCAAGUCGCGUGAGGGACGACGGUCCUAUGGAUUGUAAACCUCUUUUGUCGGGGAACAAAGGCGCCCACGGGUGGGCGGAUGAGUGUACCCGAAGAAAAAGCAUCGGCUAACUCCGUGCCAGCAGCCGCGGUAAUACGGAGGAUGCGCGCGUUAUCCGGAUUUACUGGGUGUAAAGGGUGCGUAGACGGCAG